rnacentral:rRNA from 1 species
UACAGAGGGUGCGAGCGUUGUUCGGAAUUAUUGGGCGUAAAGCGCUUGUAGGCGGCUUGUUAAGUUCCGUGUGAAAUCCCCAGGCUUAACCUGGGAAGUGCGCGGAAAACUGGCGAGCUUGAGUGCCGGAGAGGGUCGCGGAAUUCCCGGUGUAGAGGUGAAAUUCGUAGAUAUCGGGGAGGAACACCAGUGGCGAAGGCGGCGACCUGGACGGACACUGACGGCUGAGACGCGAAAGCGUGGGGAGCAAACGG